rnacentral:rRNA from 1 species
GAUGAACGCUGGCGGCGUGCCUAAUACAUGCAAGUCGAGCGAACGGACGAGAAGCUUGCUUUUCUGAUGUUAGCGACGGACGGGUGAGUAACACGUGGAUAACCUACCUAUAAGACUUGGAUAACUUCGGGAAACCGGAGCUAAUACCGGAUAAUAUUUUGAACCGCAUGGUUCAAAAGUGAUAGACGGUCUUGCUGUCACUAAUAGAUGGAUCCGCGCUGCAUUAGCUAGUUGGUAAGGUAACGGCUUACUAAGGCAACGAUGCAUAGCCGACCUGAGAGGGUGAUCGGCCACACUGGAACUGAGACACGGUCCAGACUCCUACGGGAGGUAGCAGUAGGGAAUCUUCAGCAAUGGGCGAAAGCCUGACGGAGCAACGCCGCGUGAGUGAUGAAGGUCUUCGGAUCGUAAAACUCUGUUAUUAGGGAAGAACAUAUGUGUAAGUAACUGUACACAUCUUGACGGUACCUAAUCAGAAAGCCACGGCUAACUACGUG